rnacentral:rRNA from 1 species
ACAGAGGGUGCGAGCGUUGUCCGGAAUCACUGGGCGUAAAGGGCGUGUAGGUGGCUUGGUAAGCCGCGUGUGAAAUCCCGGGGCUCAACCCCGGAACGGCACGCGGGACUGUCAGGCUAGAGCAUGGUAGAGGCGAGUGGAAUUCCUGGUGUAGCGGUGGAAUGCGUAGAGAUCAGGAAGAACACCGGUGGCGAAGGCGGCUCGCUGGGCCAUUGCUGACACUGAGGCGCGAAAGCGUGGGGAGCAAACAGGAUUAGAUACCCUGGUAGUCCACGCUGUAAACGAUGGGCACUAGGCGUCGGGGGGAGCGACCCUCCCGGUGCCGUCGCUAACGCAAUAAGUGCCCCGCCUGGGGAGUACGGCCGCAAGGUUG